GAGUGGUGGCCGAGUGGUCUAAGGCGCUGGAUUUAGGCUCCAGUCUGGAAGGGCAUGGGUUCGAAUCCCAUCCACUCC
rnacentral:tRNA from 1 species